rnacentral:ncRNA from 2 species
GGACGGACCUCUGGAGAGAGCCCGGCUACGGACAUGAUCCGGACCGGGACACCGACGGGGCAAGUUUUGACGGGCGGCUGUUUAAAUGCUGCCGCCGGAAACGAAACUCUCAGGUAACAGGACAGAGGAGAUGUU